UCCCUCCAUCCCAUAGUAUAAGGGAUUUGGGAAUGAUGUGACAUAUCCUAGUAUAAUGAAUCUGGACAAACCGUCUGUCCAAAUUCAUUGUCCUAGUAUGUGUCACAUCUACUCAAAAUCCCUUAUAUUAUGGGACGGAAGGGA
rnacentral:pre_miRNA from 1 species